GGAAAAGGUAAGCCGCCUGGUAGAAAUUUUCAGCUACUCGAGGAUUUUUGUUGUUGUUUUGGAAAUUCCAAAGAAGAAAGCUUGAAUUCCUUUUAAUAUUAUCACGAAUAUGCAAAAAUAGCUGGACACCCUCAAAUUCCAAUAAAGUGCGUUCUUGUCAGAUGUGAAGACGAUCGUUUGGUCGUGAAAGUACAGAGUCAUGCGGAUAGGAAAUGAUACCACCGGAGAAUUCACAGCUCUGGUUGUCUAUGGUGUGAUUUUGCUGGUUGCAGUACACGUAGCAGCAUUAGGAUUCUGGGUCUAUAGGAUUAUCCGGCCACCUGACAUGGACAAUACCUCAAGACUUCACCCAUCUAAUUCCAAAGCAGAGAAAGUACACUGACAGGAUAUUAUCAAGCUAUAGUGUACACUAUAUCCAUAGCAAGUGAUAUGUUUUGUUGGGCUAUUUCAUCUUGGUGUUCACAUGUUGAUGUAAUAUUUUAUAUUAUUUAAAUGGUGUAUUAUUGGACAUUCCUUAGAAUUUGAAAUAUUGAGUUAUAAUCAUGUGGCACAGCUUUUUACCAAAGCAGCCUGAUAUACAGUUUCUAGCUGCGACAUUCCUAUAUUCAUGGGGAAAUCUUUAUAAAACAACGUAUGCUGAAUAGAAGGCCACAAAAUAGCCCAAAAAAAUGUUUGCAAAUAGAAGCAUAUCCGACCAUAAACUUUGUUAGUUUGUUGAAUUUCCUUCCAGUUUCAGUAAAGACAAGAGAAAUGGAGAUAAGCACAAAUAGGGCAGUCACAAGUUUUGGUGGCAAGGAAAUGAAAGUAUGCAUCACUUCUUAGGGGGUCUCUUAUGCUCCCUUGGGGACAUUCACAGGUUUGAAACCCCAAAUCAGAAGAACUGCAAUUGUCUUGAUUUCCAUACUGGUGAUCCCAAAGAAGGUUGCCUUACAAAAAUAACUGUUUCUUUUGGUAAGGCAUUCAAAAAAACCGCCAGCUCCCUCAACAAAGUAUCACAUCCCUUUAGAAUGCCUUAACAUCUGCUGUAUGGUUCCUAGACAUUGAAGAACUGUUAUCUUGCCACCAUGCUCAAAUUAGGCCUGUUGGCUGCGGACCAGGGUUGCAGGGGGCUACACUUUCCAUGCCUUUGUGUUUUAGAUAAGUAUUAUAAUAAAACUGUGAGGAGAUCAAAUGUUUUGCUUCCCCCGCAAAAUGCCUGUAAUAAAAAUAAUUACAAGGUCA